GAUGAAGAACGUAGCGAAAUGCGAUACUUGGUGUGAAUUGCAGAAUCCCGUGAACCAUCGAGUCUUUGAACGCAAGUUGCGCCCGAAGCCAUUAGGCCGAGGGCACGCCUGCCUGGGCGUCACACGUCGUUGCCCCCCCAUCAACUCCUUCGGGAUUGCGGGGGGCGGAUGAUGGCCUCCCGUGCGCCUCGUCGCGCGGUUGGCAUAAAUACCAAGUCCUCGGCGACGCACGCCACGACAAUCGGUGGUUGCGAAACCUCGGUUGCCCGUCGUGUGCGGUCGUCGCGCAUCGAGGGCUCGAAAAAAUUGCCGGGCUCCGGCUCGGCUUUCAACGCGACCCCAGGUCAGGCGGGGUUACCCGCUGAAUUUAAGCAUAUCAAUAAGCGGAGGA
rnacentral:misc_RNA from 1 species